AAAAUAAAUAUGGAUGGACAUUAAAACUUUGCUAAAACAACAAAGCUGGUGAUGGUGUCCCAAGACUUUUGCACAGUAAUGUAUAUUGACCAAGAGUUGUAAUGAUUAAAAAAAAAAAUGCAUGUCGCAGUUCAGUAGGAUAGUAAAUUAUCUGAAAGUGAAAUCAUUAUUGAAGGUGAUAUCAUUGUCACUGCAUUCAUUGUAACAUGAUUUUAAACAGUGGGAAUCAUUGUGUACGUUUCUUAAUAAUAUCAAAUACGACUUUUUUUGUCUUGUUGUUUCUAGACCUGAGGAUAAGAUUUCCAGUUUGAAAGUGAAGAAAAUGAAUGAUUAUUUACAGCAAUUAGUAGUUUUUCAGCUGAGAAGCCAGGUGAAACUAUAAGGGCACUAUGAUUUACUUUCAUAUUAUCAUUCUUUUAUAGAUGAGGAGCAACCAGUAAGAAAAAGCAAAAAGAUGUUUUGAUGUUGCCUGAGGCACCUUAUUCACAUCAGUCAAUUUCUUCCAAUAAUGAAUCAAGGUACAGUAUUUUGUUAUUUUUUCUCUUAAAUUAUUGAUAUUGAUAGGCAUUUUCUUCCAGACAGACUUAUUGUUCAUUUAUUUUACUGGUGUAGUUAGUAAUGAUAUUAAUGUUUCAAAACACAUUCUUGAAAGAAAUCCUGAAGUGGAGAAUCAUUCUGAAAGUAGACCAAAUACAGGACAACACCACAGCAGUGGUUGGAAAAAUGCAGCAGACAAUGAGCAAGCCAAGCUGACUUUCAAAAGAUGAUUCGUUAUCUGUUUCUUCAAAGGGGAGGCAGUUUGGGAAAUAGGAGGAUGCUACAGUUACAAAGGGCGAAUUUCAGCAGCUCAGUUUCACACUUGCAACUAACAAUGAAUUAUAGUUAGAAGACAACGGAAAUAUUUGACAUCGGAGUCCAGCAGACAGCCAGAGACACGCACACACACGGAGCUGAAGCGCGUUUGACUGACGCGUACGGGAGAUCAGGAACGCGCACGGGAGCUUGCGCACGCACACACAAACACGGAGCACAGGAAAUUUACAACUGUUCAAAUAAAAUAAAAGAACUUUGUGGUAAACAAUGUUUAGCGUGUCUGAUUUCAUUGGUGUAAUGAAAUAAAACGACGUGCUGAGGACUUUAGGCGAACGUCCCCUAAAAGUCCCGAAAGUCCGCUGACCGUCCUGCAAACGUCCUUGUGAAAGUCCGGAGGACGUCCUCGCGGACGUCCGCUCGACGUAACAGGGGACCCUACACGAUAACGUCCAGGGAACGUUCGC